CGACCACUCCAACUAGAUCCCCGGUCGGUCCGGUCCGGUCGGGUUCAACUCGAGAUCAUGUGGCGCCGGUUCAACCCCCCUCCCCUUCUCCCUUAUCCACGCUCCCGGUGACAGAGGCAGCGCGAAGGAGAGAGAAAGGGAGCGCUCCGUCGCCAUGGCUCGCUCCGUUCCUUCUAUCGUCUCCUCGAACUCGAACCCUAGGGUCUUCCCCUCCAAACCUUUGGCGCCCAUGGCUUCUUUGCCUUCCGCGCCGGGGCGUCUUUCCAAAACCCUAGCCAUCCCGAAGAGCUUCCACGGCCUGCGGAAGGACUUCCAGCCUCGCUCCCUCUCCGUUUGUCUCCGCUCCCAAAUCCUCCCGAAGAAGCUUCGUCGCGAAUGCCGUCGGCGGGGUUGUUCUCCCAGACACCAGGAAUUUCUAUUCUUAUUAUGAUUUGAUGGCGUUUCGUUCCUGUUGCCGGAUUUCCUGGUCAAUCUAGAAUGAGCUGCCACUGGCUGGAAAUCUGGCGCUAGAUUUUGAAGCUGAAGCAGUCUUUGAUCAGGAGUUCAGCAAGGCAUUGCAAUAUGUCCAAGAGAACCCAGAUGAGGUCUGCCCUGCAGGAUGGAAGCCUGGGGAGAGGUCUAUGAAGCCAGACCCUAAACUCAGCAAGGAAUAUUUCACAGCUAUAUAGGAACUGUUCCAUUUUGGCUGCUGCUGGUGCUGUGCUAUCUGUAAGAAGUGGAAACCAGUCCGUUACCCUGCAUUGCAUAAAGUCCCUGGAUGUCGAGCCGAGGUGUAUCCACUUCAUGAAUUUUUCAUGGACCCAUACUCGAAUAAAUGUGAGGGACUUUCACCCCUCCUGAUUUUACUUCAUGUAUAAGAUUUCUGUUCGUGGGUUCAUAUUUAUGCCCGUGCUCAGUUUAAUGGAGCAGAAGCUCCGCAGACAGCAUGUGUUCUGUUAAAUGCAGAUCGAUGAACUGCAGUUGUCAUCUUAUAUCAAAUGACUAAGUGGCCGGCAGAACAAAUUGCAACUGGAGUUGCGGAAUCUUAGCUGCUUGUGCUUGGUAUUGUUAAAGUACAAACUUUUUAUUUAUUUCUUUAUUUAUUUAUUUAUUAUGCUGUGAUGAGAGUGAGCAGAACUGCUGACCAGUGAGUUUAAAGGCUGAAAGCUUGUUAAAAGCAAUGAGAGGUUUGCUUGUCAGGGUUAUCUAUUGUUGAGAUGUAUUUUCUUGCAUGCUAUCCUUCCAAGUAGGAGCAGCUGACCAGUCACUACUGUUUGUUAUCGCAUCAAUAUAUAUGCAACAGCGGUAUGUUACGAAUUA